CUGUCGUUCAGUUACCUCAGCAAACUCUAUGUCGUUCAGUUACCUCAGCAACCUCUAUGUCGUUCAGUUACCUCAGCAACCUCUAUGUCGUUCAGUUACCUCAGCAACCUGUAUGUCAUGCAAGAAAAACCAAACACAGUGGCUGUCUUUAUUUAUUUUUUUUUUUAAAUUUAAAUUUGACCUUUAUUUUACUAGGCAAGUCCAUUAAGAACAAAUUGUUAUUUUCAAUGACGGCCUAGGAACAGUGGCUGUUCAGGGGCAGAACGACAGAUUUGUACCUUGUCAGCUCGGGGAUUCGAACUUGCAACCUUUCGGUUACUAGUCCAACGCUGUAACCACUAGGCUACCCUGCAUACCAGACUAGCCUGGUUCCAGAUCUGUUUGUGCUGCCUUGCCAACUGCCUUUCCAACUCCUAUGGUCAAUAACAACACAAACACAUCUGGAACCAGGCUAAUAUGACCAGACUAUAACAAACUAGUGAACAUCCACACAAUGCUGCUGACACUCACUACCAGGUUUGGGAUCUGGCGGCGGACUCGCAAUCUGGCAUUUCGGGCAAAUUCCAUAUGGGCUGGUACAUUUUUAGCCCAGUGGGCCUGUCUAACUUGUUAUUUUGAGCCAAAAUUAUAAUUAUCUGGCUAAUAAUAUAAUGGGGCGGUGUGGUUUCAUUGAGGUAGAGGUCUACACAGGAUGGAUCAUUGAGGUAGAGGUCUACGCAGGAUGGAUCAUUGAGGUAGAGGUCUAAGCAGGAUGGAUGUCCCGCCGUACUGAGCCUGCCCACACAACCGCUGGCUUUCUGUCCCGACUCCCACCCGCUACCAUUUAAAUUCCUAUCAGUUCAGAUUGGAAUUUCCAAUGGCAAAGUUUCCUAUUUGAAAAGAAAUGGAAUUUCAUUGUACUUCCUGAAAUUGAAUUGUCCCCUACCGCGCUCACUACUCCAGGGUCCUUGACGAUCGAUAAUGUCGAUGUCGUCACGUAUUCUCUGUUCUGUGAAUGUAACUGUAAGUGAUGCUCAUUGUAAUAAUAUGUAUUUUUUUUUUAUGUUAGUUCUCAACUGUUUACCCUCUGACCGCACAUAUAUACCUCAGGUUUUUAUACAGAUUAAUAUCUCUUGUUAUAUUAUGUUACUUAUCGUGUUUUUAGUCGUUAUAUUUUACUGCAAGUUUUACUUUUAUGUACCGUGGAGAUUUCAAAUUCUAUUCGACUCAUUAGUUGCAUAUAGGACGUUGCAUAUAGGACGUUGCAUAUAGGACGUUGCAUAUAGGACGUUGCAUAUAGGACGUGUUUAAUGCUGUUCAACCCAAAUUAGAGGCUUGAACUUGGUAUGUAAAUACCUGUUGUAAUGUACACAGUUGCAGAACACUGAUUUUACACCGUAUCCUGUUGGGGAAAUAAUGUUUUUUUUCCCUCCAUUUUUUUCCCUCCAAUUUGAAGAGUGUCUCUGUGGUUUUUAUAAUUUAUUUUCUAAAUAUCAUGGUUCUCCCCUAAAUAAUAUAAGAGGGACUCUGCACCACCUUGCGGGCCCGGCUGAGCCACCUUGCGGGGCCAGCUGAGCUGCGCCACCUUCCGGGCCGGCUGCGGUGCCUUGUGGGCUGGCUGAGCCACUAUGCAAUUUUAUAUAGUACCAGUCAAAAGUUUGGACACACCUACUCAAAGGGUUAUUCUUUAUUUUUACUAUUUUCUACAUUGUAGAAUAAUAGUGAAGACAUCAAAACGGUGUGUGUGUGUGGAGUCAUAUAGUAACCAAAAAUGUGUUAAACAAAUGAAAAUAUAUUUAAGAUUCUUCACAGUAGCCACCUUUGCUUUGAUGACAGCUUUGCAUUCUUGCAACUGACCCAAUGAGGUAGUCACCUGAAAUGCUUUUCCAACAGUCUUGAAGGAGUUCCCACAUAUGCUGAGCAUUUUUUGUUUGUUUUUCCUUCACUCUGCAGUCCAACUCAUCCUAAACCAUCUCAAUUGGGUUGAGGUCAGGUGAUCUGGGUCAUUGUCCUGUUAAAAACAAAUUAUAGUUCCACUAAGCCAAACCAGAUGGGACGUUUGUAUCACUGCAGAAUGCUGUGGUAACCAUGCUGGUUAAGUGUGCCUUGAAUUCAAAUAAAUCACAGACAGUGUCGCCAGCAAAGCACCCCGACACCAUCACACCUCCUCCAUGCUUAACGGUGGGAACGAGACAUGUGGAGAUCAUCCGUUCACCUACACUGCGUCUCACAAAGACAUGGCGGUUGGAACCAAAAAAAGUUCUUAAUUUUCUAGAUUGACUGACCUUCAUGUCUUAAAGUAAAGAUGGACUGUCGUUUCUCUUUGCUUAUUUGAGCUGUUCUUGCCAUAACAUGGACUUGGUCUUUUACCAAAUAGGGCUGUCUUCUGUAUACCACCACUACCAUGUCACAACACAACUGAAGUGGGAAAGAAAUUCCAUAAAUUAACGUUUAACAAUGCACACCUGUUAAUUGAAAUGCAUUCCAGGUGACUAACACAUGAAGCUGGUUGAGAGAAUGCCAAGAGUGUGCAAAGCUGUUAUCAAGGAAAAGGGUGUCAACUUUGAAGAAUCUCAAAUUAUUUUGAUUUGUUUAACACUUUUGGUUACAUGAUUUCAUGUGUUAAUUCAUAGUUUUGAUGUCUUCACUAUUCUACAAUGUAGAAAAUAGUCAAAAUAAAGAAAAACCCUGGAAUGAGUAAGUGUCCAAGCGUUUGACUAGUAGUGUGUGUUUUGUAUGUAUGUGAGAAACUUGAUUUGUUAUCAUUUAUGGCAAUGUUUUGCUCUAGAUUGCAGGAAAUGGCAGUUACAGGUGUUAAAAAAUACAACUAUCUCAGAGUCCAAAACCCUGGCGGAGAACCCUGAAAUAAGGUUUUGUGUUCUUUAUUUUUAUAAUAUAUACGAUUGGUAUGAGUGGCUCGGGGUCAAAAGCUAUGCAGCUAGUGCUUACAUUUCACUCUAAGGUAAUAUGUUGCUAGAUUGUGUAAUGAACACGAUGGAAGACAGAGAGCUGGUUUAAAGAGCAGGGCACAGCAGGUGUUUAUUGGAGGAGGCAGGUAGCUGGGUCCAGGGGCAGGCAGAAGGUCAUACACAGGAGGAGGCAGGUAGCUGGGUCCAGGGACAGGCAGAAGGUCAUACACAGGAGGAGGCAGGUAGCUGGGUCCAGGGGCAGGCAGAAGGUCAUACACAGGAGGAGGCAGGUAGCUGGGUCCAGGGGCAGGUAGCUGGGUCCAGGGGCAGGCAGAAGGUCAUACACAGGAGGAGGCAGGUAGCUGGGUCCAGGGGCAGGCAGAAGGUCAUACACAGGAGGAGGCAGGUAGCUGGGUCCAGGGGCAGGCAGAAGGUCAUACACAGGAGGAGGCAGGUAGCUGGGUCCAGGGGCAGGCAGAAGGUCAUACACAGGAGGAGGCAGGUAGCUGGGUCCAGGGGCAGGCAGAAGGUCAUACACAGGAGGAGGCAGGUAGCUGGGUCCAGGGGCAGGUAGCUGGGUCCAGGGGCAGGCAGAAGGUCAUACACAGGAGGAGGCAGGUAGCUGGGUCCAGGGGCAGGUAGCUGGGUCCAGGGGCAGGCAGAAGGUCAUACACAGGAGGAGGCAGGUAGCUGGGUCCAGGGGCAGGCAGAAGGUCAUACACAGGAGGAGGCAGGUAGCUGGGUCCAGGGGCAGGCAGAAGGUCAUACACAGGAGGAGGCAGGUAGCUGGGUCCAGGGGCAGGUAGCUGGGUCCAGGGGCAGGUAGCUGGGUCCAGGGGCAGGCAGAAGGUCAUACACAGGAGGAGGCAGGUAGCUGGGUCCAGGGGCAGGCAGAAGGUCAUACACAGGAGGAGGCAGGUAGCUGGGUCCAGGGGCAGGCAGAAGGUCAUACACAGGAGGAGGCAGGUAGCUGGGUCCAGGGGCAGGUAGCUGGGUCCAGGGGCAGGCAGAAGGUCAUACACAGGAGGAGGCAGGUAGCUGGGUCCAGGGGCAGGCAGAAGGUCAUACACAGGAGGUCCAAAAGGGCAACAGUACAGGCAGGGAAAAUACUAGUAAUGUAGUCCGGGAGAUCAGGCAAUAGGUAGAUGACAGGCUGAAGUGCAGGCAGAUAAUAGGCAAAAAAAAAUUUAAACACGGGAAAACCAGCUCUCCGAAAGAAGUGUCACAAAACAAACAAGACUGCUCUG